rnacentral:tRNA from 1 species
ACUUAAUUAGUUUAAAUUAAUUUAAAAUAAUAAAUUGUGGAUUUAUAGAUGAUUAGUUCAUUAAGUA